rnacentral:rRNA from 1 species
ACUCCUACGGGAGGCAGCAGUAGGGAAUUUUCCACAAUGGACGAAAGUCUGAUGGAGCAACGCCGCGUGCAGGAUGAAUGCCUUCGGGUUGCAAACUGCUUUUAUAUGUGACGAAUAUGACGGUAGCAUAUGAAUAAGGAUCGGCUAACUCCGUGCCAGCAGCCGCGGUAAU